rnacentral:pre_miRNA from 1 species
GUGAGAAUCACAGUGCGGUUCUCCUCUGGCAUGGCCGCCGCCGGCCGAUCACCGGCGAGACGAACUGCAUGCCGGCCGGCCCUGCCAAAGGAGAAUUGCCCUGCCAUUCAGAG